AUUGAACGCUGGCGGCAGGCUUAACACAUGCAAGUAGCGCGAGCGGCGGACGGGUGUGUAAUGUAUGGGAAACUGCCUGAUGGGGGGGGCUAACUACUGGAAACGGUAGCUAAUACCGCAUACCAUCUGAUUAGCCCAUAUGGGAUUAGCUAUGAGGUGGGGUAAGGGCUUACCUAGGCGACGAUCCCUAGCUGGUCUGAGAGGAUGACCAGCCACACUUGGACUGAGACACGGCCCAGACUCCUAAGGGAGGAAGCAGUGGGGAAUAUUGCACAAUGGGCGCAAGGCGGAUGCGGCCAUGCCGCGGGUAGGAAGAAGGCGUUCGGGUUGUAAAGCACUUUCAGUGAGGAGGCGUUACCAAUAGAAGAAGCACCGGCUAACUCCGUGCAAGCAGCCGCGGUAAUUG
rnacentral:rRNA from 1 species